rnacentral:rRNA from 1 species
AACAAACGCUGGCGGCGUGCCUAAUACAUGCAAGUCGAACGGGGAAAGCUUUCGGGUGCGUCCUAGUGGCGCACGGGUGAGGAACGCGUGGAUAAUCUGCCUUAGAGUGGGGGAUAACUAGUCGAAAGAUUAGCUAAUACCGCAUAAGACCACGAGAGCUGCGGCUUUUGAGGUCAAAGGUUUUUCGCUCUAAGAUGAGUCCGCGUAAGAUUAGCUAGUUGGUGAGGUAACGGCUCACCAAGGCGACGAUCUUUAACUGGUCUGAGAGGAUGAUCAGUCACACUGGAACUGAGACACGGUCCAGACUCCUACGGGAGGCAGCAGUAGGGAAUAUUGCACAAUGGAGGAAACUCUGAUGCAGCGACGCCGCGUGAGUGAUGAAGGCCUUCGGGUCGUAAAGCUCUGUCGCAGGGGAAUAACACAAUGAAGGUACCCUGUAAGAAAGGAUCGGCUAACUUCGUG